rnacentral:rRNA from 1 species
AGCAGUCGCCGCGGUAAUACGUAGGUGGCAAGCGUUGUCCGGAAUUAUUGGGCGUAAAGGGCUCGCAGGCGGUUUCUUAAGUCUGAUGUGAAAGCCCCCGGCUCAACCGGGAAGGGUCAUUGGAAACUGGGAAACUUGAGUGCAGAAGAGGAGAGUGGAAUUCCACGUGUAGCGGUGAAAUGCGUAGAGAUGAGGAGGAACACCAGUGGCGAAGGCGGCGACCUGGUCUUUUACUGACGCUGAGGCGCGAAAGCGUGGGGAGCAAACAGGAUUAGAUACCCCGGUAGUCCCUGUCUCUUAUAC